rnacentral:rRNA from 1 species
GAGUUUGAUCCUGGCUCAGGACGAACGCUGGCGGCGUGCCUAAUACAUGCAAGUCGAGCGAGCUUGCCUAGAUGAUUUUAGUGCUUGCACUAAAUGAAACUAGAUACAAGCGAGCGGCGGACGGGUGAGUAACACGUGGGUAACCUGCCCAAGAGACUGGGAUAACACCUGGAAACAGAUGCUAAUACCGGAUAACAACACUAGACGCAUGUCUAGAGUUUGAAAGAUGGUUCUGCUAUCACUCUUGGAUGGACCUGCGGUGCAUUAGCUAGUUGGUAAGGUAACGGCUUACCAAGGCAAUGAUGCAUAGCCGAGUUGAGAGACUGAUCGGCCACAUUGGGACUGAGACACGGCCCAAACUCCUACGGGAGGCAGCAGUAGGGAAUCUUCCACAAUGGACGAAAGUCUGAUGGAGCAACGCCGCGUGAGUGAAGAAGGGUUUCGGCUCGUAAAGCUCUGUUGGUAGUGAAGAAAGAUAGAGGUAGUAACUGGCCUUUAUUUGACGGUAAUUACUUAGAAAGUCACGGCUAACUACGUGCCAGCAGCCGCGGUAAUACGUAGGUGGCAAGCGUUGUCCGGAUUUAUUGGGCGUAAAGCGAGUGCAGGCGGUUCAAUAAGUCUGAUGUGAAAGCCUUCGGCUCAACCGGAGAAUUGCAUCAGAAACUGUUGAACUUGAGUGCA